UACGUAGGUGGCGAGCGUUGUUCGGAUUUAUUGGGCGUAAAGGGUUCGUAGGUGGAUUGCUAAGUUUGGUGUGAAAUCCCAGGGCUCAACCCUGGAACUGCAUUGGAAACUGGCGGUCUUGAGUAUCGUAGAGGAGAGCGGAAUUCCCGGAGUAGCGGUGGAAUGCGUAGAUAUCGGGAGGAAUACCAGAGGCGAAGGCGGCAACCUGGACAGUUACUGACUCUCAACAACAAAAGCGUGGGGAGCAAACAGG
rnacentral:rRNA from 1 species